GUGAGUCAUCGAGUCUUUGAACGCACAUUGCGCUCUCUGGUAUUCCGGAGAGCAUGCUUGUUUGAGUAUCAGUAAAACACCCUCAGUUCCCCCUCUCUCUCGUUUCGACGGAGGAAAGGGGAGUUGGACUUGAGUGAUCCCAACGCAGUGAUUUUGAAUCACUGCUGGCGGGUCGCUUGAAAUGCAGGUGCGGCUGGACACAUCUUCUGAGCUAUAAGCAUUACUUAUUUAGUCCCGUUAAACGGUAUUAUAUCUUAUUGCUGCAGCUAACAUAAAGGUCGAUUGUCUUUGUUGCCCGACUGAUGCAGGAAGACAAAGGGGGAGUGAAAGUCUCUUUUUGUUCAACUCGAUCUCAAAUCAAGCAAGACUACCCGCUGAACUUAAGCAUAUCAAUAAGCGGAGG
rnacentral:rRNA from 1 species